rnacentral:misc_RNA from 1 species
AAAAUAAAAAAAAAAAAGAAAAACAUUUAAUUGGUGAGGCAAUUGAAACCUUCCACUUAAAAAUUUUGCAGAUAUGUUUCCUUUCACAUGGCUUCGUCGAUCUAAAACAUUGGUACUACAUUAUAAAAAGAUUUUCAACAAGUAAACCAAUUACUUCAGAAAAAGGACAACUAGGAACAGCUUUUCCUAGAGAAAGACAUUAAGAACUCAAAGACUAAGGUGAAAGCAAAAAAUUAUAUAAAGGAAUUUACAGGGAGAAGAAACCAAGGCCAUACAGGAAAAAUAUGAUACAAGCAAAGAUUAAAGAAGAAAAGCAUCAUGUAUUAUCUAAUAAGCAACUUUUUGUCCACAAUAUAACUAUUUGAACCUUUGAUAACCCAAAUUGAAUUCAGCUCAAAUUAUAUUGGGUAAAACAGGGGAACCAGCUGUUAUAUAACUGAAGGCUCAAUGGGCUUCUUGAUGAACAAAAAGAAUGGAAAUGGUAACAUCUUCCCUUUCAUAAUCCUCUCACAAGACUAACUAUAUGCAAUGCAGGUAAAAUUAAUUAAGCAGCAAUAAUUUGAAGAUAUAACUUUGAAACAAUUCUGGAUGUAGCACAAAUGGAUUUUCUUGCAAGAAGAAAUUGUUUCCUACUGGCUGUGCAACAAAUGGGGAACAUUAUACUAAAAGCACCUACAACUGGGGUCUUGGUAAGGUGUCAAAUAUUUAAAUGUGUCUAGAUAAAACACAGAGUUUGCUGAAAAUAGAGAGAAAGUGAUGCAUGCAUCUCCUACUAAAAAAUAAAAGUCAAAUAUUUCUCAUUGGUCAUAGUGAUAACAAUAGAAUACAACACAAAUAAUUGAUAAACAUGAUAGAAUGGAAAGCAGACAUUUUGUUCAGGAUAUGUUUUCUUAGUCUCCUACACUCACAUGGAGUGCAGACAGUUAGGCUCACAGAUUCCAUUAAAUUGCCUUUAUCAGAGACAAAUCAUCAAGGGAUAAAUGCAUAGACAGAUGAUAAAUUAUCUGGAUCAUUGACUUCAAGAAUACUUGAAGUCAGGAAUUCAUGAUUCUAGUAUCUAAGUUGCUCCAAGAAAGAAUUUAAACCAAAAAUGAAAACAGAAUACCUGCAAAAUUGGUGACAAUGAUCUCGUACUCUUCUCCAAUCUUGACUUCAGUCAAACCCACUGGCUUAGGCUCUGUGUAGAUAUUCUCAACAUUGUCCCCAAGAGGAAUGAAUUCAAAAUAUCCAAUGUUAGGCAGCACAGCAAAAGUAGCCGACUCAGGAGACAGCUUUGGAUUGACGUUUGCUCCAAUCCACCCUUCUGUAGCACCAUAAUCAGCACUCAACAAAGGUAUAUCACCUGCGUAGUGCCUCAGCUUCUUCAAAUAAGGCUCCAUUGACCCAGUCAUUAUCCCAUAGACAUACUUCACAUUAGGAAAAAGUUCAGGUAUUAAUCCAUACCAAUUACUCAAUCCUGAGCAUUUUUUAUGGAUUAGCUCAGCCAAUUCAAAGUUUGGCUUAAGCACUUGUGACAUUGCAUUUCUUAUGGAAGGGUCAGUGACCCGGCUACUGAGCAUCCCAUCACGUAUAUUAUCACAAAGCUCUUCCCAGACUUGUUCAAAGGUUCGAAAUGCAAGGACGAUGCUAUGGGCAAAUGUAGAGAACACAAACUGAAUUUCUUCACGGACGAUUAACCCACAUAAGAGAUGGCAAUACAAUGAUUGGUGGAAGUCAGAACCAAAUAUCACUUCAUCAGGGCUGCAGCAAUUGAACUUCAUUGUCCGUACUGCAUUUUUGUAGCAUGAACUGCGAAAGAGAUUUGUUGUGGCAGUCCCAGCAGCCAAACCCCCCUUUGUUCUGGACUGCUUGCCGCUAAAGUUGAACAGCAGGGCUUUCCCAUCCACAGUAGGGAACUCUCUGUUUCUAAAUGCAAAGGAAGUUCUAUAUAUCUGCAAGGUGUUCUCCAUCAGAUCAUCAUUGAAUGGUAGAUAUUUCGGCUUUCCCUGAGUAGUACCCGAACUCAGUGAUAUGGUCGUUAUGGGCUUUCUGGUGAGAACAGAGGAAGAAUCUCCAUCUGCAAUUCUUUGAAUAUAAGGUUCCAACUCCUUGUGAGUAACAAUGGGAACAUAAUCUCUGAAACUCUCUGGAUCAGUUCGUCCAUUGAGACCCAGAUUCUGCAAGUACUCUGCACAGCCAUUCUCUUCCAGAAUCUUCUUGAGGGUCUCUAUCUGGACUCUCUCAGCAUCUUUCGUAAUUGCUUCAAAUUCUUCUAUCACUUUAUCAAUGUUAAUUUUUUCCAUCUUCUUUUCUAACAUCUUCAUUAAACUUCUUAAACUGCAAUCGGACUCUGAGCACAGCAGCAACUUUCAGAAAAAGGCAGAGAAAGAGUAUUCUGCAAGUACAAUGGUGAAGUGAAAGCGAGCGUUUCUAAGUAACGAAUUUAAAGAAGGGAGAAGAACAGUAGGUUGAACAAAAGAUGUUUACUAGUUCACUGAUUUAUGCAACUUGCCCUACCAUGUGCAAGGAGAAGCCAAAUGUUAGAGAGAGUUUUUAUAUAGAAAAAUUGUGUGGUUUACGGUAAGCCGGAG